rnacentral:rRNA from 1 species
UACGGAGGUUGCAAGCGUUGUUCGGAAUGACUGGGCGUAAAGGGAGCGCAGGCGGCUUGUUAAGUCUGGAGUGAAAGCCCGGGGCUCAACCCCCGGCGGGUCGUUCGGAUACUGGCAAGCUAGAGUACGGAAGAGGAAAGCGGAAUUCCAGGUGUAGCGGUGAAAUGCGUAGAUAUCUGGAAGAACGCCAAAGGCGAAGGCAGGUUUCUGGGCCGCAAUUGACGCUGAGACGCGAAAGCUAGGGGAGCAAACAGGAUUAGAAACCCUUGUAGU